AAAAGAAACCAACCGGGAUUGCCUUAGUAACGGCGAGUGAAGCGGCAAAAGCUCAAAUUUGAAAUCUGGCGUCUUCGACGUCCGAGUUGUAAUUUGAAGAAGGCAACUUUGUAGCUGGUCCUUGUCUAUGUUCCUUGGAACAGGACGUCAUAGAGGGUGAGAAUCCCGUGUGGCGAGGAUCCCAGUUAUUUGUAAAGUGCUUUCGACGAGUCGAGUUGUUUGGGAAUGCAGCUCUAAGUGGGUGGUAAAUUCCAUCUAAAGCUAAAUAUUGGCGAGAGACCGAUAGCGAACAAGUACAGUGAUGGAAAGAUGAAAAGAACUUUGAAAAGAGAGUGAAAAAGUACGUGAAAUUGUUGAAAGGGAAGGGCAUUUGAUCAGACAUGGCGUUUGCUUCGGCUUUCGCUGGGCCAGCAUCAGUUUUAGCGGUUGGAUAAAUCCUCGGGAAUGUGGCUCUGCUUCGGUAGAGUGUUAUAGCCCGUGGGAAUACAGCCAGCUGGGACUGAGGAUUGCGACUUUUGUCAAGGAUGCUGGCGUAAUG
rnacentral:rRNA from 1 species